GGCUUUAUAGUGUAGUGGUUAGCACAUCUUCUUUACACACAGAAGGUCCUGGGUUCGCACCCCAGGUAGAGCCA
rfam:Pteropus alecto contig42631, whole genome shotgun sequence.